rnacentral:tRNA from 1 species
UUAGUAAUAGUUUAUAGGAGAAUAGUUUAUUGUUAAUAAAAGGGUAUAUAUUUUUUAUAUAUUUACUAUU